UCUUUGAGGUCCUCCGAUACCAUGGCAACCGCUCAUAAACAAUAACAUCGUUGCGACGUAGCACAGAGUCUCAACAUAACUACUCAAUGACAUAUUGGAUUUAAAGUACGAUAAGAUCAUUCGCAUUAUUACAUAUAUACGUUUAAAACUACUCAUGUCUAUAAAGAAGGACGUUCAGUUGCCUCCACUCUCAACGUUUGAAAGCAGGCUUUCAUCAAGCAAGGGGACUUCAGGGCAAGUGGGGUCUGUGUCUAAAAUUUUAAAAGUUACAGAUGGAUGUAGCUCUGGCUAUCUUUCCACCUGGCCUGCCCAUGUCAGCUCACAGGUUGUCGAGCACCACAGUCAAAAACACACUAAAUCUGGAGUAAAGAAAAACCAUGGAUACAGUGAUGAAUUCGGACGUACUGUAGCUAAGCCACGGUUCCUGGAACAACUGGAGUGUUAUCUCAGGAGAGAACUGUUAUCUUUAGACCUGCAUAGCCCCAAACUCCAGCAGCUCAAACUUCAGGCAUACCGAGAAGUUUUUGACUAUUUCAUUGAAGGAUUUAAAACUUACAAGCCAUUGUUGUCGGCUAUCAAAAAUGAAUAUGAGAUUACUCUAGUAUAUCUGCAGCAGCAGAUCCAAGAGUUGGAGCCUCUCCGUGCCCAGAUGGUGCUGCUAUCUGAACAGUGUGAAGAGAAGAUUCUGGGCCUGAGGGAGCAAGAGAGAGCUGAGAUCACAGCUUUGAAACAGAAAUGCCAACAUCUGCAGCAAGUUGUUGGGAGCAUGAAGGAGCACCAGAGAGCUUUGCAGACACAGGUUUCAUAUCUAGAGGCGGACCUGGCAAGACAGUAUGUGUUGUACAGGGAGGAACGUGACGCCCGCAGGCUGCUCACUGACAACAUCAGCAGCAUGAGCUACAGCCCACAGGAGCAUGGUUACGCACUGGAUGAGGACCCUGUGAAUCUAAAGCUGGCUUUAGAAGUGUGUAGGGAGGAUCUAAACAAGGCGCAUAUGGAGAUCAACUGCUUACAUGCAGAAUAUGGAGAUGUGGUUCCCCGUAGAGACUGGGAGAAUCUAGAACAUAUGCACCAGGAGAACCUCCUAAAGCUGGAGACAUUACAGUCUGACUUCAAUCAGUUGAAGACGGAAUAUGACACAUUGCUAAAUUUACAUCAGCAGACCAGCACACAGAGAAAUGGCCUUCACAGAAAAGCCUCAACUCCUAGACCACAGUGGGAGCAGUGUGCAGAUAUACUGGGUAGCGGGGAUCGUUGUUCUGAGCUCUUUGAGGGUCAGUCCAGUCAAAAAAGACUGGAGAUCUUGCUGAAGGAGUUGAGCAGCAUGGGUCUGCGGCAGAAAGACUUUUUUACUGGACUGGGUACUUCCUCUGAUGUUCCCAUCUACUUGCGCUAUGAGGGGCAACUGAGGAACCUCAGACUGAAAAAGACUGAUGUUGUUAGAGUUCUAAAGGACAUAUGGAGACAGAAAGCUUCUGAAGAUGAGAAGAUGGAUGAACGCAGUGAUCUAAAGGAGUUUCUGCACCAGUAUGUGUUAAAGCAGCAUGAGGAGAGAGCAGGACAAUGGGCUUACAGUCUGCUUGAUGGCAUCAAGCGUUUUGAAGAAGAUGAUUUCAUUGGUCUCUUCUAUGACAUUCUCCAAGGCAAGGUGGAUGAAAGUGUGUACCGUGGACAAACCCAUCUACUGUCUCAUCUGCUCAAGGUGCUCAUACAGAGUGACACCACUGAGAGUGGAUUGCUAAGCACACCCCAAUUCAGUGCAGCUCUGAGGACUGCUUUUCCUCUGAAAGGAGAUCAGGAUAUAGAGGAACUGGUGCAGGCUGCUCAGUCAGAACUACAGACCAGUGGAGGAAACAUUGCCUACCAGAGGCUGUACACAGAGGUGUCUGUAAACAUCUGGACAGCAACCACAAUGGAUUUGAAAUGGAGCAAUCACGAUAAAGCAUGGACAUCACCAAAUGAGUCUUUCCUUGAUGCUGGGAUGUUUUGCCAGGACUUUAGCUUAAGUUUUGUCUUCACUAUGUGAAAAGCACGAUUGAUUGGGUUGAGGUCAGGUGAUUCUGCCAUUUAAGAGCAUUCUAUUUCUUUGCCCAAAGUAAUUAAAUAAUUAUAUGUUUCUUAGUAAUAUAGCCUUUCAGUUUCCAGUCUUCUGUGGCCUUCCAGAACUUGGUGUUGAACUCUCCAAUGUAUUCCUUCUUAUCGAGAAAUUGUACAUUUGACCACAUCUAAUUUUCUACAAUAUCUCUGAUAGGACACAGAUGGUAAGCAGAGUGAUUUUCUGGAUCUGGUAAAAAAGCAGGCUAUUGCAGAGAGACACCAGUACAUCAACCAGCUAAGAGAACAGCUAGGAGGCAAAGGGGAAGUGGGAGUGGAAGAUUUAAAAGCUGUUUUCAACACAAUCGAUCCCACACUGGACUCUGAGACUCUGUACUGUUAUUUGAGUACUGCCUUCCAAACGAAAGAGCUGCACAAGCACACACAGCUUUUGGACACUGAAGUUGCACUACAGCGCCUCUCUACAGCUAAUGUAAACAGGGCAGGACCCAGG